rnacentral:rRNA from 1 species
GUUGAACGCUGGCGGCAGGCCUAACACAUGCAAGUCGAGCGAGUGGCGGACGGGUGAGUAAUGUUUGGGGAUCUGCCCGAUAGAGGGGGAUAACUACUGGAAACGGUGGCUAAUACCGCAUACUAUCGGAUGACCCCAUAUGGGAUUAGCUAGUAGGUGGGGUAAAGGCUCACCUAGGCGACGAUCUCUAGCUGGUCUGAGAGGAGGACCAGCAAAACGGGGACGGAGACACGGCCCAGACUCAUAAGGGAGGGAGAAGUGGGGAAUAUUGCGCAAUGGGGGCAAGCCGGAGGAAGCCAGGCCGGGUGAAUGAAGAAGGCCUUCGGGUGGUAAAGUGCUGGCAGGGGGGAGGCGUUACCGGCAGAAGAAGCACCGGCUAACUCCGUGCCAGCAGCCGCGGUAAUAC